rnacentral:antisense_RNA from 1 species
AUCGUGAACUGAGGCCUCAGUGUAAUAGCCCAUGAGGAACUGAAUUAUUUCAACAGCCAGGGUUGCUCUGAAGACUAAAGCCCUGGGAUCAUUCAUUUUAAAAGAAAAGAAUGGUGACUCAUUAUUUCAAGCUUUUCAUUCUGGAAGAUGGAAGUAUAAGAUCAGAUAGCCAGCAUCAUCAGAUUUGAUAUCAAAGUAAUGUCAAGUGCUUCUGACCCACUGCAUUAAAUGUGUGCUGAGCAGUUGGUGGUAGAAGAUAUUAUUGUGAAGGCUGCUCACUACCAAUUUCAUCACUGUUGCUAACUCCAGCUCAUCUAAUCUCUGCAACAUCUGCUACCAGCACCUUCUCUUCCCUCCUUUUGUGAACAUAGUUUUUUCUUCCGGUUAGAAAAUCAGUUCGAACUUCUUGAGUAUGCUUUGUGUUUUAAACUCUUCUCAACUGUUCCCAUGAUUGAUGGAUGCCCAGAGGCGACCUCUUUAUCUCCAGCAACAUAUUUGGCUGUUGGCCCGGUAGAGAGGUACUCCAGAAGCUUGCUGGUUCAUCAUGCUCUCAUCUUUAACCAGAACUAUUUAUCUGACUCCUUCCAUCUCCACAGCACUGUGUGAGGGAUCAGUGAUAAGAGACAGUGAAAGAGAUGCGCAAAUGGAUAAAUAAUAAGCA